GGGAAUGUAGCUCAGUAAUAGAGCACUUGCCUAGCAUUCAUGAGGCCCUGGGUUCAAUCCAUAGUACUACCA
rnacentral:tRNA from 1 species